rnacentral:rRNA from 1 species
GACGAACGCUGGCGGCGUGCUUAACACAUGCAAGUCGAACGGUGAACCUCUUCGUAGGUGAUCAGUGGCGAACGGGUGAGUAACACUUGGGCAACCUGCCCCCGGCUCUGGGAUAACUCCAAGAAAUUGGGGCUAAUACCGGUUGUUCAUCGCUUCCCGCAUUGGUGGUGUUGGAAAGGGUUUCCGGCUGGGGAUGGGCCCGCGGCCUAUCAGCUCGUUGGUGGGGUAGUGGCCUACCAAGGCGACGACGGGUAGCCGGCCUGAGAGGGUGACCGGCCACACUGGGACUGAGACACGGCCCAGACUCCUACGGGAGGCAGCAGUGGGGAAUAUUGCGCAAUGGGCGGAAGCCUGACGCAGCGACGCCGCGUGGGGGAUGACGGCCUUCGGGUUGUAAACCUCUUUCAGCAGGGAAGAAGCGCAAGUGACGGUACCUGCAGAGGAAGCACCGGCCAACUACGUG